rnacentral:rRNA from 1 species
GAUGAACGCUGGCGGCGUGCCUAAUACAUGCAAGUCGAGCGAACAGACGAGGAGCUUGCUCCUCUGACGUUAGCGUCGGACGGGUGAGUAACACGUGGAUAACCUACCUAUAAGACUGGGAUAACUUCGGGAAACCGGAGCUAAUACCGGAUAAUAUAUUGAACCGCAUGGUUCAAUAGUUAAAGACGGUUUUGCUGUCACUUAUAGAUGGAUCCGCGCCGCAUUAGCUAGUUGGUAAGGUAACGGCUUACCAAGGCGACGAUGCGUAGCCGACCUGAGAGGGUGAUCGGCCACACUGGAACUGAGACACGGUCCAGACUCCUACGGGAGGCAGCAGUAGGGAAUCUUCCGCAAUGGGCGAAAGCCUGACGGAGCAACGCCGCGUGAGUGAUGAAGGUCUUCGGAUCGUAAAACUCUGUUAUUAGGGAAGAACAAAUGUGUAAGUAACUAUGCACGUCUUGACGGUACCUAAUCAGAAAGCCACGGCUAACUACGUG